rnacentral:misc_RNA from 1 species
CCCCGCACAGGUUGGAGCUAUGGAGAACUAUCCUAUACGAUAAGUGGAGUUACAUGACGCUUUUUUGACGUCUCCCUCCCCUCUCUAUUCUCUUCCUUCCACGCUGCGCCACUCCCCGGUUGCAUAGAUGCUCCUUUUCGUUUUAUUUUUCUGUUUUCUUUUUGUGUUGUUCUUGCAGAGAUGGUCGCCCGACAAAACAAAGAACAAGAGUGGGCCUCGUAUGCCACCACGCCAAGCCCCCUCCCCCUCUCUCCCACACCACCCUGUGUUCUACUCGGGCUCAACAUGUCUGCAUCUGCCGGAGCUGACAAGCAGAACGGAAGGGCGAAAGGCAGCGCUGAUGCAGCAUUUAUUUUCGAUUCGGAAACCCCUCCCAAAAAAUCGUACGCAUCAGAGAUCCGCUGCUCGCCCGCACGUGCAGUCGGCAUCUCUCUAACGCGCUCGUCUUCCACUAAGGGCAACCUGCCAGCUUGGCCGUUGUGUGCACUCACCGUACCACGGCGCCUAGCAUUCCUGAGCAAGUCGCAGCGCAGAGGUCACACAUUUUUUUUGUUUUCUGAACCGUCUUUCAUGGCAGAUCAUCUGCCUGCACACGUUGAGCGCAAGCAGACACCGCCACUCGCUUGCUUCCUCUUUCUCGCCGCAUUGUUUUGCGACCGUGUUGCGGGUUCUACUCUGUCGCUCAUGGCGAGCCCCAGGGCCAUUAACUGCGCAUCAUCACUGCUAGGUAUCCUUCCCAUUCUCGAUCCCCUGUUUCUCCGUCUCUGCUAG